rnacentral:rRNA from 1 species
UACGGAGGUUGCGAGCGUUAUUCGGAUUUAUUGGGCGUAAAGGGCGCGUAGGCGGUUGAAUAAGUCAGAUGUGAAAGCCCUUGGCUUAACCAAGGAAGUGCAUUUGAUACUAUUUGACUUGAGUAUGGGAGAGGGAAGUGGAAUUCCUGGUGUAGAGGUGAAAUUCGUAGAUAUCAGGAGGAACACCGGUGGCGAAAGCGACUUCCUGGACCAAUACUGACGCUGAGGCGCGAAGGCGUGGGGAGCAAACAGG